rnacentral:rRNA from 1 species
UACAGAGGUCUCAAGCGUUGUCCGGAAUUAUUGGGCGUAAAGAGCUCGUAGGCGGUGUGUCACGUCGGCCGUGAAAAACCUGCAGCUUAACUGUGGGCGUGCGGUCGAUACGGGCAUCACUGGAGUUCGGCAGGGGAGACUGGAAUUCCUGGUGUAGCGGUGAAAUGCGCAGAUAUCAGGAGGAACACCGGUGGCGAAGGCGGGUCUCUGGGCCGAUACUGACGCUGAGGAGCGAAAGCGUGGGGGAGCAAACAGG